AGCACCGGAAGGAAUUGGAGAAGAUGGCAAAACCCGUUCUUGAUACUCUAAGAAGCUACCAGGACUUGCCUCCGUUUCAUGUUAAUGACCAAGCUGCAAUUGAGAUGGUUAAAGGUCGACGAAGCAAUAUUCAGAAGAAAUUGUAGUUUUUAAUUUUUGUUUUUGUUUUACGCCAAAUUAGUGUGUAAACUUUUUUUAUAUAAGAGUUUUUGUAUAUUAUUUUAUGUAAUAAUGAUAAUAAAUAUUGUAUUUUAUUUUUGAUAUGUUAUUUUAAUCCAAAAAUUCCAGUAAA